rnacentral:rRNA from 1 species
GAUGAACGCUAGCUACAGGCUUAACACAUGCAAGUCGAGGGGAAACGAUAUUGGAAGCUUGCUUCCGAUAGGCGUCGACCGGCGCACGGGUGAGUAACGCGUAUCCAACCUGCCCAUCACUUGGGGAUAACCUUGCGAAAGUAAGACUAAUACCCAAUGACGUCUCUAGAAGACAUCUGAAAGAGAUUAAAGAUUUAUCGGUGAUGGAUGGGGAUGCGUCUGAUUAGCUUGUUGGCGGGGUAACGGCCCACCAAGGCGACGAUACAGUAGGGGUUCCGAGAGGAAGGUCCCCCACAUUGGAACUGAGACACGGUCCAAACUCCUACGGGAGGCAGCAGUGAGGAAUAUUGGUCAAUGGACGAGAGUCUGAACCAGCCAAGUAGCGUGCAGGAUGACGG